AGUGAACGCUGGCGGUAGGCCUAACACAUGCAAGUCGAACGGCAGCACAGUAAGAGCUUGCUCUUACGGGUGGCGAGUGGCGGACGGGUGAGGAAUACAUCGGAAUCUACUUUUUCGUGGGGGAUAACGUAGGGAAACUUACGCUAAUACCGCAUACGACCUACGGGUGAAAGCAGGGGAUCUUCGGACCUUGCGCGAUUGAAUGAGCCGAUGUCGGAUUAGCUAGUUGGCGGGGUAAAGGCCCACCAAGGCGACGAUCCGUAGCUGGUCUGAGAGGAUGAUCAGCCACACUGGAACUGAGACACGGUCCAGACUACUACGGGAGGCAGCAGUGGGGAAUAGUGGACAAAGGGCGCAAGCCUGAUCCAGCCAGACCGCGUGGGUGAAGAAGGCCUUCGGGUUGUAAAGCCCUUUUGUUGGGAAAGAAAAGCAGCAGGUUAAUACCCCGCUGUUCUGACGGUACCCAAAGAAUAAGCACCGGCUAACUUCGUG
rnacentral:rRNA from 1 species